CCUGCUCAAUGAAAAUUCAAUAGCCGCUUUAUAUAAGUGCUAAGGUAGCAUAAUCAUUAGUCUAUUAAUUAUAGAAUAGAAUGAAAGGACGAACGAGUUAAGAACUUUAUUUUUACUUUAUCAUAAAUCUAAUAUAAAAGUAAAAAAGCUUUUAUUAAAUGAAAAGACGACAAGACCCUUUAGAACUUAACUAAAAGUUAAACUGGGACGGUGAUCAUAAAAACUAAUUCAAAACAUUUAAACAACUUUAAAUCAAAUAUAAAAAGUUACCUAAGGGAUAACAGCAUAAAUUUAUAAUAAAGAUCUUAUAAAAUAUAAAUAUUAUGACCUCGAUGUUGAAUUACUAUACUUACAGUAGAAAAUUACUUUAAAGUAAGUCUGUUCGACUUUUAAAAAAGUACAU
rnacentral:rRNA from 1 species